AGCGAACGCUGGCGGCGUGCCUAACACAUGCAAGUCGAACGUGAAAAGGGAAACCUGAGUAAAGUGGCGUACGGGUGAGUAACGCGUAGGUAAUCUACCCCAGAAUCUGGAAUAACCUGCCGAAAGGCGGGCUAAUACUGGAUAGAGCGAGGGAACUCGUAAGAGAGUUUUUCGGGAAAGGGAGCCCGCAAGGGCCUUCGUUCUGGGAUGAGCCUGCGUCUCAUUAGCUAGUUGGUAAGGUAACGGCUUACCAAGGCGAUGAUGAGUAGCUGGUCUGAGAGGAUGAUCAGCCACACUGGAACUGAAACACGGUCCAGACUCCUACGGGAGGCAGCAGUGGGGAAUCUUGCGCAAUGGACGAAAGUCUGACGCAGCCACGCCGCGUGAGUGAAGAAGGCCUUCGGGCUGUAAAGCUCUGUCGGAUGGGACGAACAUCUUCAUAGUGAAUAGCUAUGAGGACUGACGGUACCAUCAAAGGAAGCACCGGCUAACUCCGUG
rnacentral:rRNA from 1 species